rnacentral:rRNA from 1 species
GCCUAAUACAUGCAAGUCGAGCGAACGGACGAGAAGCUUGCUUCUCUGAUGUUAGCGGCGGACGGGUGAGUAACACGUGGAUAACCUACCUAUAAGACUGGGAUAACUUCGGGAAACCGGAGCUAAUACCGGAUAAUAUUUUGAACCGCAUGGUUCAAAAGUGAAAGACGGUCUUGCUGUCACUUAUAGAUGGAUCCGCGCUGCAUCAGCUAGUUGGUAAGGUAACGGCUUACCAAGGCAACGAUGCAUAGCCGACCUGAGAGGGUGAUCGGCCACACUGGAACUGAGACACGGUCCAGACUCCUACGGGAGGCAGCAGUAGGGAAUCUUCCGCAAUGGGCGAAAGCCUGACGGAGCAACGCCGCGUGAGUGAUGAAGGUCUUCGGAUCGUAAAACUCUGUUAUUAGGGAAGAACAUAUGUGUAAGUAACUGUGCACAUCUUGACGGUACCUAUUCAGAAAGCCACGGCUAACUACGUGCCAGCAGCCGCGGUAAUACGUAGGUGGCAAGCGUUAUCCGGAAUUAUUGGGCGUAAAGCGCGCGUAGGCGGUUUUUUAAGUCUGAUGUGAAAGCCCACGGCUCAACCGUGGAGGGUCAUUGGAAACUGGAAAACUUGAGUGCAGAAGAGGAAAGUGGAAUUCCAUGUGUAGCGGUGAAAUGCGCAGAGAUAUGGAGGAACACCAGUGGCGAAGGCGACUUUCUGGU